rnacentral:rRNA from 1 species
GGGUUGUGAGGUUAAGCGACUAAGCGUACACGGUGGAUGCCCUGGCAGUCAGAGGCGAUGAAGGACGUGCUAAUCUGCGAUAAGCGUCGGUGAGGUGAUAUGAACCGUUAUAACCGGCGAUUUCCGAAUGGGGAAACCCAGUGUGUUUCGACACACUAUCAUUAACUGAAUCCAUAGGUUAAUGAGGCGAACCGGGGGAACUGAAACAUCUAAGUACCCCGAGGAAAAGAAAUCAACCGAGAUUCCCCCAGUAGCGGCGAGCGAACGGGGAGGAGCCCAGAGCCUGAAUCAGUGUGUGUGUUAGUGGAAGCGUCUGGAAAGGCGUGCGAUACAGGGUGACAGCCCCGUACACAAAAAUGCACAUAUUGUGAGCUCGAUGAGUAGGGCGGGACACGUGGUAUCCUGUCUGAAUAUGGGGGGACCAUCCUCCAAGGCUAAAUACUCCUGACUGACCGAUAGUGAACCAGUACCGUGAGGGAAAGGCGAAAAGAACCCCGGCGAGGGGAGUGAAAAAGAACCUGAAACCGUGUACGUACAAGCAGUGGGAGCCUCUUAAUGGGGUGACUGCGUACCUUUUGUAUAAUGGGUCAGCGACUUAUAUUCUGUAGCAAGGUUAACCGAAUAGGGGAGCCGAAGGGAAACCGAGUCUUAACUGGGCGUUAAGUUGCAGGGUAUAGACCCGAAACCCGGUGAUCUAGCCAUGGGCAGGUUGAAGGUUGGGUAACACUAACUGGAGGACCGAACCGACUAAUGUUGAAAAAUUAGCGGAUGACUUGUGGCUGGGGGUGAAAGGCCAAUCAAACCGGGAGAUAGCUGGUUCUCCCCGAAAGCUAUUUAGGUAGCGCCUCGUGAAUUCAUCUCCGGGGGUAGAGCACUGUUUCGGCAAGGGGGUCAUCCCGACUUACCAACCCGAUGCAAACUGCGAAUACCGGAGAAUGUUAUCACGGGAGACACACGGCGGGUGCUAACGUCCGUCGUGAAGAGGGAAACAACCCAGACCGCCAGCUAAGGUCCCAAAGUCAUGGUUAAGUGGGAAACGAUGUGGGAAGGCCCAGACAGCCAGGAUGUUGGCUUAGAAGCAGCCAUCAUUUAAAGAAAGCGUAAUAGCUCACUGGUCGAGUCGGCCUGCGCGGAAGAUGUAACGGGGCUAAACCAUGCACCGAAGCUGCGGCAGCGACACUAUGUGUUGUUGGGUAGGGGAGCGUUCUGUAAGCCUGUGAAGGUGGCCUGUGAGGGUUGCUGGAGGUAUCAGAAGUGCGAAUGCUGACAUAAGUAACGAUAAAGCGGGUGAAAAGCCCGCUCGCCGGAAGACCAAGGGUUCCUGUCCAACGUUAAUCGGGGCAGGGUGAGUCGACCCCUAAGGCGAGGCCGAAAGGCGUAGUCGAUGGGAAACAGGUUAAUAUUCCUGUACUUGGUGUUACUGCGAAGGGGGGACGGAGAAGGCUAUGUUGGCCGGGCGACGGUUGUCCCGGUUUAAGCGUGUAGGCUGGUUUUCCAGGCAAAUCCGGAAAACCAAGGCUGAGGCGUGAUGACGAGGCACUACGGUGCUGAAGCGACAAAUGCCCUGC